ensembl:lncRNA
UGGACUCUGGUUCCUGGAGCACACAGCUGCUGUGUGCAGAGACCUGGACUGUGGCUCUGCUGUUCAUGGAGAAGAGAGACGUGAUUUUCCACAGAGUCCAUUGUGGUGGGUCUCACCUGACUGUGUGAAGAAGAAGACGUCUGCAGUGAGAGAAUGUGUCUUUGGUUCAGAGUCCUUAUCCUCUCCCUCUCCCUCGGGUCUGGAGGUGAAGUGUUCAGGUCCUCCCUCCUUUCCUCCUCCCUCCUCUCCUCCUCCCUCCUCUCCUCCUCCCUCCUCUCCUCCUCCCUCCUCUCCCUCUGUGUGGAUGCUGUGGCUAGUGCGCCCUCUGCUGGUGUCCAGUCCGUACGCCGUGUGCACUGUGCUGCUGGUGCUGAUCUACAGGGAGCAGAGUCGCACAGGAAGUCCACAUGUCGUUUCCAUGGAGACGGGCCAGCAGGAGGAGGAGUAUGAUGACAUCGCCGCUGAGGUCACC